rnacentral:ncRNA from 2 species
CUUUUGCACUCGAAUUUUGGUUGUUGUUUUAAAAAUCUUUUUUUAGAACAACAUUAAAAGGGAAUUAGGUUUAAUGCCUAAGCUGUACCCGCAACUGUAAGCUACAAAGCUUGUUAUUAUCUACAUACCACUGAGUUAAUUGAUUUCUAUCAAUGUCUUGGGAAGGUGAAUAACAAGACGCAAGCCAGGAGACCUGCCACAUUCGUUAGUAACAA